GCCCUUUUGAUACCUAAACACAUCAUAAGAAAGUAGAAUAUGACUGCCUUUUUUUUCUGCCUCACACAACAAAGGGCUAUUUAUACAAGGCAAAGUUUUGUAUAUGUGUUCUUCUUUAUUUCAGAUUGUGAGUUGGGGAAAACUGGAGCAAAUAUCAGUCUUCUUUCAUGCUUAUAAAUGUAUUAAUAUGUAUAUCUUAAUAUGUUCAAGGCAGGCUUCCCUGGAAUCAGUCUGGAAUAUACUGCUUAAUUUUAUACAUGUAUGUAGGUGAGAUGAUUUAUGACCGAAAACUGGAAUAAUGUAUUUUGUCAACUGGUCAUCAACCUGUUAGGAAUCUUUUGUCUUAGGCGGUGGUGUAAUUGUGAAAUUCUCAUAUUAGGAAGAGUCCCAUAUGAAUGCCAUUUUAUGUCAACAUUGCUUUAAUAUUUUGAAUUGACUGGCUGUUUUCUCCCACCUACAAGAGAAUGUGUCUGCCAUUCCCCUGUGCUCACUGUGGGUUGUAGGGAGUAGCCUGUUCCUCCCAACAUCAUCGGUUCCUUCACCUGAACUGGAUGGAGCCUUACCUGCAAUCUA
rnacentral:lncRNA from 1 species